UACUUUGGUGUCCUAGUUGUUAGAGGGUUAGAGCGUCCGCCUCGGAUGCGGGAGGUCGCGGGUUCUAACCCCGGCCGAGUCA